rnacentral:misc_RNA from 1 species
GAUGAAACAAUCCAAGACGAGUCCUUGAGACUUGUUUACUGUGUGAACUGUACGCAAUCUUUUAGGGGUCGGUCUCAGUGCCGUUAAAUGGUCGUCCGCCGCUUGGCGUGCGUUCGGUCAGCCCCGACUUUAUGUUUUUACAAACUUUGUUUAUUCAGUCUGAGAACCAAUACUGUUGGAACACGAAAAAGAGAAAGACA